rnacentral:rRNA from 1 species
GAUGAACGCUGGCGGCGUGCCUAAUACAUGCAAGUCGAGCGAACGGACGAGAGGCUUGCUUUUCUGAUGUUAGCGGCGGACGGGUGAGUAACACGUGGAUAACCUACCUAUAAGACUGGGAUAACUUCGGGAAACCGGAGCUAAUACCGGAUAAUAUUUUGAACCGCAUGGUUCAAAAGUGAAAGACGGUCUUGCUGUCACUUAUAGAUGGAUCCGCGCUGCAUUAGCUAGUUGGUAAGGUAACGGCUUACCAAGGCAACGAUGCAUAGCCGACCUGAGAGGGUGAUCGGCCACACUGGAACUGAGACACGGUCCAGACUCCUACGGGAGGCAGCAGUAGGGAAUCUUCCGCAAUGGGCGAAAGCCUGACGGAGCAACGCCACGUGAAUGAUGAAGGUCUUCGGAUCGUAAAACUCUGUUAUUAGGGAAGAACAUAUGUGUAAGUAACUGUGCACAUCUUGACGGUACCUAAUCAGAAAGCCACGGCUAACUACGUG